GCGCAGCGUAGCAAGCCGCAGCCCACGCCACUUCCAACUGAAGGGGCAGCCGCCCCUGCUGGCAGGAUUUCUUCCCCCGUCCCGAAUCUGUCAUGUCGGCCCUGGUUUCCAUCGCGGCACCGCUGGCCUGAGAAGAUAUGCUAAUUAACCACGCCCCUUCAACGUCUAAACUCAUGGCCACGUCCCGAGCGCAUAGGGCCGUAAAUGAGAAGAACGGGGGAGGUCAACAGCCAACAUGGCGGUCUCGCUGCAAGUGGAAGAAACUGAACGGGCUAUAGUGGCAGGUGUGCGGGCUGCACUGCAGGGUACACUCGCGCAUGUACCACCCUCAGAAAUUCCAAACAACAUGAAACCUGGGGACCUGGUCCUGAUCAAAAUGCUCCAAAGGAAGGACUGGAGCACCCCUCGCUGGGAAGGACCUACCAAGUUCUCCUGACCACGCCUGCAGCAUUAAAGAUUGCAGAGAGACCAUCCUGUAUUCACAAGAGCCAUUGCAAGCCAGUCUUACAAGAGCCAAUUCAACCGACGGAGUACCAGGGAGAAGUUCGGUUACAAGGGGGCUGGUGACCCAUAGUGCCCAGCGUCUCAAACCCGGUGAAGAAACCAACUAACCUGCACUCAUUUACAGGACGCAGGGCCCCACCGGAAAAGACGGACACCUGAUGGAUCACAUCUCAGACCCAUAGGAAAGGAGGACAGAGGACAUCCGUUUCUGCAGAACUACUGGUCCGUUUCUCUCCAGUUCCGAGACCCAACCAGUAAAACCAGCAAAGUAUUUACCUUGUGAAAUAAUGAGAAAUGGUUAAGUAUAAAAUCAAGAUUUAAACCAAAAUGUUCAGUGUACAAAGUAUACAAUUGAACAGAUACAGAGUGACAUUCACCUUCGGUACCGGGCCCCCCUCAGCCCAUCUUAGGGAUGAACUGAGAGGAGCAAAGAAUGGAGCGACCGUACAGUACAGGAGGAUGCGUUGGUGCUUUGCUUCCUGGGAGGUCCUCCUCAGGCUUCAACCACGUUGCUGGUACCAACACAUUGCAAAGAUCUGGACUUCCGGUGGCGUAACCGGAUAUCGUCAUUAACCGGAUGUUGUCAUUAACCGGAU